UACAGAGGUCUCGAGCGUUAGGCGGAAUCACUGGGCUUAAAGCGUGUGUAGGUGGAUCGUUAAGUACCUUGUGAAAUCCCACGGCUUAACCGUGGAACUGCUUGGUAUACUGGCGGUCUUGAGCCACUUAGGGGCUACCGGAACAAAUGGUGGAGCGGUGAAAUGCGUAGAUAUCAUUUGGAACGCCAAUGGUGAAAACAGGUAGCUGGGAGUGUGCUGACACUGAGACACGAAAGCCAGGGGAGCAAACGGGG
rnacentral:rRNA from 1 species